rnacentral:rRNA from 1 species
UAAAUGACUCUCGGCAACGGAUAUCUCGGCUCUCGCAUCGAUGAAGAACGUAGCGAAAUGCGAUACUUGGUGUGAAUUGCAGAAUCCCGUGAACCAUCGAGUUUUUGAACGCAAGUUGCGCCCGAAGCCAUUAGGGCCGAGGGCACGUCUGCCUGGGCGUCACACGUCGUUGCCCCUCCCAACCCCUUCGGGAGUUGGAUGGGACGGAUGAUGGCCUCCCGUGUGCCCGGUCACGCGGUUGGCAUAAAUAACAG